rnacentral:rRNA from 1 species
AUUGAACGCUGGCGGCAUGCCUUACACAUGCAAGUCGAACGGUAACAGGUCUUGGGAUUCUUACUAGUGGCGAACGGUGGCGUAAUACAUCGGAACGUGCCCAGACCUAGUUGAUCGUGGGGCGUAAGCUUUGCUAAUUUCCCCUACUACCUCAUACUGACAACAGGUGACCGCAAGGCAUCUUGCGACUUUACCGGCCGAUGUCAGAUUAUGUCGUUGGAGGGAUAAAAGCUGACCAAGCCGACGAUCUGUAGCUGGUCUGAGAGGAUGAGCAGCCACACUGGGACUGAGACACGGUCCAGACUCCUACGGGAGGCAGCAGUGGGGAAUAUUGGACAAUGGGCGAAAGCCUGAUCCAGCAAUGCCGCGUGGAGGAUGAAGGCCUUCGGGUUGUAAAGUGCUUUUGUAGGGAAAGAAAAGGAGCUGGUUAAUACCCGGCUGAUAUGACGGUACCGUAAGAAUAAGCACCGGCUAACUACGUG